rnacentral:lncRNA from 1 species
GGGCUGUCUUGCAUGGAAUAAAAAAAACCUGCGAGAUGAUCCAAAUAAGCAUUCUUAGUGGUAGCUCACCAGCAAGCAGAAAGGUAACGCCUCUGUGGAGAGGGCGCUGUCAGCUGUGCGCCCGUGCAACGGGAACCAGUUCUAGGCGGCUGUCACUGCACUGCUCUCUGGAGACUCAGAUGCAGACUCAAAGCAGGCCAUUACAUGAAUGUAUCCUGUCAGCCCACAGAGCUUUAACCCCAUGCAUCCAUGUGCAGCUCGUCGCCUCCUACUCUAACCCUGUCAGAAACACCGCCUGCUUAGGAAAGACCAGGACUAGAAAAGGCCGAUGUGAAGCGAUCCGAGGUGGAGCUGUGCAUCCAGGCUGAGUCUGAGGAAGAAAACAUGGAACCCGGAGCCGAGACUCUGGCUGUCCUUGGCAAAUGCAUCUCUAUAAAGGCAGAAGCUCCCACCGUCCUGUGUCCACCUUUCCUGCCUUCCUCUUCCUCCAAGUGCCUCAGCCACUCUCACACUCCUCCCCUCCCCAAGUCUGUCUGGGUCUUAAUGCCCUUCACGAUUAAACAUCACCAGCCUCCUGCUGUUCACCACCGCCAACACGAUGUGUCUUUCUGAGUAACCUCCCCCAUCACUAAAAACAUGUCUUUCCUCGACUUCUUCAAGUCUCCACCAUCCAUCUCUGUUACCUUACCAGACUGAUCACAGCAUCAAGUGUGCCCUGUCCACCCCGUGCUGUGUAGACCGUCUUCCCCAGCUGCCACAAUACCUUGCUGUCCUCUACCUCAUCCCCAGAGAGCCUGUAUGCUCAGAGCGCCCACCCCCUGGGCUCAUUCUCUGCUGUCAGUAAUACUAUCCAUAUCCUAAACAAAUCAUAAAACCUUUGCCUUCUAUCAAAGUAGAAACCUUUAUAUUUAUACGUGAUACAGAAAUUGAACUAUUUCUACCAUGCAGAAUUUAACAUUUAGCAGGAACUCAGAGUGAGUGAAUUGCUAGCCUAACUUGGUCUGUAUUAGAGGAUGAGUACUGGUGAUAGGCCCAGUCGCUUGAAUGUAGAGUUAAAAUUCCCCAACAGUCCACAUUAAUCCAUAACUCUUCAGUGGACAGGAGGUUCCUGGCAGACAAGUGAGGUAGUAUUUUAGACAAAAGUUUUUUUGGUGGUGUUUGGGCCUUAAAACACAUUUCUCAUAGAGGACAUCCAAUGAAAGGUGUUUUAGAAGGUCAGAUUGGAUCAUACUAGCCUGUUUGAUGUAUAAUGUAGAUUUAAAAUCCCACAAAACUGGGUACAUCCAAAUUUGACUUGAUUAAGCUUCUAACCCCAACCCUCCCUAUUCCUAGUGGGAGAAAACUUACCUUAUGAGAUAAGGAGGAGAGUGUUGGCUUGAGUCUCAACUUCCCCUGACCGCUCUUCCUGGAUGUCCAAAUAGCGUCAUUAAGGAAGAAAACAUGGUUCAGGGGCGGGAAUGCAGUUUCUCCCCUCCAGCCAGGCUGCCAACAGGAGAUACACAUUCACACGUAGAUGGCCGGCUGCCCUGUUUGGGAGCGUAGGCCUGAGAUCUCUAGUGGUCUUCAGAUGUGUCCAUCUCAAGCAUAAACGCCCCAGCCUGACAGUGCCCAAUUAAUGCAUUUAAAGACCGAGAGUGUAGCAGGGGCUUAGUUAGCCAGUGACUUGGCCACUGAAAGGGACACAGCAUAAGGUGUUCACUUAGCUUUAACUAAAUUAGGACUGCAGUGCCAUGAUGGCCAGAACCGAAAGGGUAAAGGAGUGUCUGUUCUGAAUGUGUGUGGAAGCCUUGAGGUGACCCAGCCUGAGCUGUAAAGUAACUUAUAGAACGAGCACCCCACUUUACAGUUCAUAGGACCCCAAACAUUAGACAUGGGAGUAUGAUAAAUAUAAUUUUGGUAUGUAAAAUUUUGCUAAAACUGUCUAUUUCUUACUCAAGGUAACCUCUUAAAAUGAAUGUAUCCUUUUUCUAGAGUGUUAGAGAGAGUCUAUGGUCUUUAGUGUUAAAAUGUUGCUCACAGGUACCACUGAGUUAAUUGGACACAGUAUAUUCAGAAGAAAUCUGAUUUCCUAAUUGAUCUUCACAAACUUUAACUGGCUCUCCCAGUCUGUAAAAGGACAAAAGGUAGAAUGAAGGAAGUGUAUCAGCUGGGUGGCCGAGGAUUUUUCUUUUCUAAAGCAGAGACCAUCUCUUCCCUGAUUCUCACUGGUUUCCCAAAGUAGAGCCUGAGUUAAUGGUGCCCUGACCACCAAGGAUGGUGAUCUACAUCUAGUGCACACAUUUCCUUUGCAUUUGGAUGUCUCUGCGAGAGAGGAAGUAGGAUUUUUCCUUCCUCUUCACAUUUACUCUUUUUACCCAAAGCAAGAUGAACAUUGGAAGCAAAUCCCAGGCCACCUGGCGGCAUCUUUCUAUGAAUUGAACGGGCACACGCACAGUCUGGUCAAGGUGAAUGAGAUGAGAACCCUGUUAGGUCACCUGGGAAACCUGGCCUUGCCGCUUGGCUCAGCUCCUGCAAACCAGAAAGAAGCGUUGUUCCUCGUCGUGAAAGAACUGGAUGUAGCCUUUAACUCAUGAAAUAGGAGUUGAACUUGAAAGCCCUUCUGAAUCCUGAUUGUGCAGGGCAGCCGCAUAGUGAAUGUACACAUGAAGACCGUAGCUGAAGUGCACAAGUCAGACACCAACUUCAUGACCUUCCAUAGAGACAUUGUCUCCUUACGUUGUGAGUGACAUAUGUAGCAUGCUGUGAAGCACCUGUUCUAGUUCCUAACUCAUCAGUAUUAAUACGGAGUUACCCUUGUGUUCCUUGGUACUUUAUAUUCAAUGUAAUCAGAAGCUGUGAUGUAUCCCCUUCCUAGUCCCGGGCUUUGUUGCUGUAAAUUUCCUUAUGAAGCACGUGACUUUGGACUCAUGUAAGGUGGAUGCUCUUGAAGACUGCUAUACACACACACACACACACACACACACACACACACACACACACACACACGUCUCUUAUUGUAGAUGGUUUUGAGUUAGAAUAAGCUUUUCUCCAGUAGACCAUUGAUGCAGUUUACGGUCCACACUGUCAGGUGGCAGCCUCCUCUUGAUAGGUUCAACUCUGAAAAUAGCAAGCUUUAUGAACAGCCACUUCACCCUUGUUCUAGCAAAGCAGACCCUGCUGUAAAUGUAGGCUAUGGUGGUUACCCAUAAUGCCCUCCACAUGCAUCAGCAGUUAUGGAGAUGACAGAACCCAUGAGAGCUUCUUGUAUGUAUAAGUAGGCUUGAUUUUUGUUGUUAUGUUGCUGGUUUGGCAGUUUGACUAAAGCUGACCCAAAUGGGCCAGCUCGUGUAGUACUCUAGUGGUUUAACGCCUCUCUUCUCGUUCUGCGGCUGUCCUUUUGUUUUUCGAGGGAUGGGUAAUAUUAUUUGAACAGAUAAAGAAGGAACUGUUAAUGAAUCAAGACAAACACACCUGAAAUAAAGGAGCUGUGUAUUAACAUGUUAACAAUUCAUAACUGCACUUUCUAUGACAUUUUGAAAAUCUAUUUAUAGGUACAGAACAAUGGGUUUUGUUAAACUGUAUCACGUUUAUACCUGCAGAAUUUAUUUCAUUGUUAUUAGUAGGAAUUUUAUUGGUUCAAUAAAAUUGGCAAAAUUGA